UGAGAGGCAGAUACAUAAAUUAGGCUGAAAUGCUACUCUAAUUGUCAUUAUACCUUCCUAGAAUCAAUUACCUUUUGAUGACCAAGACAGAUUGAAAUUGUAAUGGACAUAUAUGAGGCAGACAAUU
ensembl:scaRNA